UAAGGAAUCUUCCACAAUGGACGAAAGUCUGAUGGAGCAAUGCCGCGUGCAGGAUGACGGCCUUCGGGUUGUAAACUGCUUUUAUAUGGGAAGAUUAUGACGGUACCAUAUGAAUAAGGACCGGCUAACUACGUGCCAGCAGCCGCGGUAAUACGUAGGGUCCAAGCGUUAUCCGGAAUCACUGGGCGUAAAGCGUGUGUAGGCGGCGUGUUAAGUGCGAUGCGAAAUCUUGUGGCUCAACCAUAUAGACUGUAUCGCAUACUGGCAUGCUAGAGGAUGGCAGAGGCAAGUGGAAUUUGUAGUGUAGCAGUGAAAUGCGUAGAUAUUACAAGGAACACCAAUGGCGAAGGCAGCUUGCUGGGCCAUAUCUGACGCUGAGACACGAAAGCGUGGGGAGCGAA
rnacentral:rRNA from 1 species